UGCGAACCUGAUUUACACAAUAAUGGCAGUUUAUCUGAAUUUUGUUCUACUGAAGGAAGCUCUUUUACACUUGAUUACUGUGGCCAAGAAGCCUGGCUUCACCUUAUUGCCCCUCCUCAGGGAAAGGAGGCAGCUUCUCCCUAGGCUUCCGCCAUGCUGGCCACCGCCAGUGGCAGACCCCCAGCCCCCUCUCUCAGCGUGAGGCCCAUCCACGCGCCAGGCAACACCCUUUGGGAUGACUCAGCAAAGUCAAGUGUGGGGUCCCGGGUUGACUCCCGAAGGUCCCCACAGAGCUCCACAGUUGGCCAGGGCAGCCGAGAGUGGCUCUGGGAGCAGGCUGCUGGGACUGGGCCUGGGGUCUCUGCUCCUGGCACCCUCGAACACCAGAUAGCACUGACAUUUACCUGGUUGGCUCCUGCUGAGAACAGUGGUGAACUGCACAGUUAUCACCGCGUCAGAAAUCUCCAUGGUGCACUUGUGCAGUCGCUUUUGGAACUCAGUGACUGAGCUGUAAGAACCCAUGAGCUCCCCAGAGAAGGAAACAGUGUGGAUGGAGAAGAAUCUGGAGUAGAGACAGGUCUGGGGGACCCUGCCUUGCCUACCCUUUAUGAAGAGAAGCAAGUCACUAGGUCCAGCCCACACUUAAAGGGAAGGAUUACUUGCAAGAACCAUGACAGCCAUUUCAGAAGCUACCCGGACACUUAGAAAUAUCCCUGCAAAAUUCCCGUUAUGAAAUCUGCAAUGUGCUCAUGUCUCUUCUGAUUUUCUUAUGGCGGCCGUCACCUCCACUAUGGAAAGAAAAAUGAACAAUAAUGUUGUGAUGGGCUGGGCUGCCAUGUUUUACCCUAUUUACAGGUCAUUUUAAGUAUCGCUUCUGCACUUCAGACAGGCUUUCAUGUUUAAUUUCACUCGUGUAGGGCUAUGCUAGGCUUUCCUCUAGGUAGCAAUGAAAAUUAAACACAAUUGAGUUUGAUGUGUACCUUAUUGAUUCCAGACCCAUUUCAGUAGACUGUGACACUUCAGCGACCUGCAAAUUCUACACAUUAGAGUUCAUAUUUUAUACAAAUGCCGUACAUCUAAGACAUGGACUUGAAUUUCUACCAGAAACAUCCUACUCCUAACAAAAGAUACAGGUCAGAAGAUGAUAGUGCCUGGGCUUCCGGUCAAGAUGGAGGCAUAGGUGGACACGCUUUGCCUGAUCAUGCAACCACAAAAAGGAAUUACUACUAAAUCUCAAAACAAGUAACACCCAGAACUGUCAG